UUAAUACUAAUAAUUAAUAAUAUAAAAACGUAAAAUAUAUAAAAUAUAUUCGAAAAGAUAUUUAUAUGUUGAAAUAAGAUACUUUUAUAUAUGUAGCCGUUACAUUUAAUAAUAUAAAAACGUAAAAGAUAUAAAAUAUAUUCGAAAAGAUAUUUAAAUGUUGAAAUAAGAUACUUUUAUAUAUGUAGCCAUUACGUUGUCCUUGUUAAGGCUUUAUUGAAAUUGAUGUAACGAUAAUGUCUGUAUUAUUAAACCCUUGCAUUAUUAAAGAAAACUCAAUGAUAUCUAUCAAAAGAAAACAAAAACUGUAUGAUCAUAAAAAAGAAAGAAAACGAAAUUCAGAAAAUUCCUCUAAAAAAAAUGAAAACAAUCAAU
rnacentral:lncRNA from 1 species